UUGGAGGGCAAGUCUGGUGCCAGCAGCCGCGGUAAUUCCAGCUCCAAUAGCGUAUAUUAAAGUUGUUGCAGUUAAAAAGCUCGUAGUUGAACUUCGGGGUUUACUUAUUGGUCAGGCUUAAUUGUCUGUACUGGUGAGAUGAAUCUCUACCUUCUGAGGAACUUUCAUGUCAUUUAUUUGGUGUGAUUGGAAAUCAGGACUGUUACUUUGAAAAAAUUAGAGUGUUUAAAGCAGGCUCACGCUUGAAUACAUUAGCAUGGAAUAAUGAAAUAGGACGUUUGAUUCUAUUUUGUUGGUUUCUAGGAUCGACGUAAUGAUUAAUAGGGAUAGUUGGGGGCAUUAGUAUUCAAUUGUCAGAGGUGAAAUUCUUGGAUUUAUUGAAGACUAACUACUGCGAAAGCAUUUGCCAAGGAUGUUUUCAUUAAUCAAGAACGAAAGUUAGGGGAUCGAAGACGAUCAGAUACCGUCGUAGUCUUAACCAUAAACUAUGCCGACUAGGGAUCGGACGAAGUUAAUUUUAUAAUGACGCGUUCGGCGCCUUACGGGAAAC
rnacentral:rRNA from 1 species